UGCGGAUUAAUUCGAUGCAACGCGAAGAACCUUACCAAGGCUUGACAUGUUCUCGAUCGCCGUAAAGAUACGGUUUCCCCUUUGGGGCGGGUUCACAGGUGGUGCAUGGUUGUCGUCAGCUCGUGUCGUGAGAUGUUGGGUUAAGUCCCGCAACGAGCGCAACCCUCGUUCCAUGUUGCCAGCACGUAAUGGUGGGGACUCAUGGGAGACUGCCGGGGUCAACUCGGAGGAAGGUGAGGACGACGUCAAAUCAUC
rnacentral:rRNA from 1 species